rnacentral:rRNA from 1 species
CAUGCCGUAAACGAUGAUUACUAGGUGUGGGUGGUCUGACCCCAUCCGUGCCGGAGUUAACACAAUAAGUAAUCCACCUGGGGAGUACGACCGCAAGGUUGAAACUCAAAGGAAUUGACGGGGGCCCGCACAAGCAGUGGAGUAUGUGGUUUAAUUCGAAGCAACGCGAAGAACCUUACCAGGUCUUGACAUCUACCGAACCCUGCAGAGAUGCAGGGGUGCCCUUCGGGGAACGGUAAGACAGGUGG